rnacentral:tRNA from 1 species
UAGACAGAAGCCUGCAUGGUUAUGGCCCCUAGCUGUUAACUAGGUUUUUAUGGGAUCGAGGCCCAUCUGUCUAG